UGGGGAAUAUUGCACAAUGGGCGCAAGCCUGAUGCAGCCAUGCCGCGUGUAUGAAGAAGGCCUUCGGGUUGUAAAGUACUUUCAGCGGGGAGGAAGGUGUUGUGGUUAAUAACCACAGCAAUUGACGUUACCCGCAGAAGAAGCACCGGCUAACUCCGUGCCAGCAGCCGCGGUAAUACGGAGGGUGCAAGCGUUAAUCGGAAUUACUGGGCGUAAAGCGCACGCAGGCGGUCUGUCAAGUCGGAUGUGAAAUCCCCGGGCUCAACCUGGGAACUGCAUCCGAAACCGGCAGGCUUGAGUCUUGUAGAGGGGGGUAGAAUUCCAGGUGUAGCGGUGAAAUGCGUAGAGAUCUGGAGGAAUACCGGUGGCGAAGGCGGCCCCCUGGACAAAGACUGACGCUCAGGUGCGAAAGCGUGGGGAUCAAACA
rnacentral:rRNA from 1 species